GACGUAGGGUCCAAGCGUUGUCCGGAUUUACUGGGCGUAAAGAGCGCGUAGGCGGUCUGUUAAGUGUAGAGUGAAAUCUCCAGGGCUCAACCCGGAAACUGCUCUGCAUACUGGCAGACUGGAGUGAUGCAGAGGUUUGUGGAAUUCCUGGUGUAACGGUGAAAUGUGUUGAUAUCAGGAGGAACACCCAUGGCGAAGGCAGCAAACUGGGCAUUUAACUGACGCUGAGGCGCGAAAAGCGUGGGUAGCAAACAGG
rnacentral:rRNA from 1 species